GUUUGAUGGCAGUGCUACAUUUUCUUUUGUUAUGAUUACUAUUACUAUUAUUGAAAAAUGUAUCAAGAAAAAUAAUUGAAUAGGAAAAUCCUGUCUUGCUGAAGAAGUUUAGGAGUCCACAGAAGGUCCCCUCUUUCAUAUUUUAUAAAAGUCUCCUGGCUGUCAAUUAGACAGGGUGCCUCUUCUCACUCUCUUGAUCACUCACUGAAAGUGAGUCUGAGGGCAUCGCUAUAAGGUGCAUUGAAAUUGCGGCAAUUGCAUAUGCAAUAGGUUCCCAACGCUCUAUGAAAAGAUUUGGUUUGGACAAAGAUCAACUAUUCCAUUUUGACAGCAUAAACAGGUGUGUGGAACAAACAUGAACUAGAUGGACUUUUGUCUUCUUCAACCUAUACUAUUAUGUAACUAUAAAUAGCAAACUAUAGGCC